UGGAUUUCCUCUGCACCCUGGGCCAAGUUACUGCUGUGUGUGUGGGAAGGUCACUUGUCAGGAUUAUGGAGUGCAUGAAUGUCAGCGUGGAUGGCAAUUUGUGGCACAAAUGUCUAUCUGCCAAGAGCCUGGCUGCCAAGAGCCUGGCUGAAAUACAGGUGCAGCAACAAAGGUGACCACAAGCGAUGCAGAGUGGAUAUUUGUUCAUAUUUUCCCUAUGCUGAACUGCUGCUGUUACUGGGCCAAACCACACCAGUCCUUACUCAAGCUCUAUCAUUAGUGAAGUCAAUGCAGCCCUUGCCAAAUGACCCAAGUUACAUACUGCUUGGAAAGGCAAAGGAGGAGAGGAACGAUACAUGGAAACCCACUUGGCCCUCAUUAAAAGUC